UACGUAGGGUGCGAGCGUUGUCCGGAAUUACUGGGCGUAAAGGGUGCGCAGGCGGUUAUAUAAGACAGAUGUGAAAUCCCCGGGCUCAACCUGGGAACUGCAUUGGUGACUGGCAGGCUUUGAGUGUGGCAGAGGGAGGUAGAAUUCCACGUGUAGCAGUGAAAUGCGUAGAGAUGUGGAGGAAUACCGAUGGCGAAGGCAGCCUCCUGGGCCAACACUGACGCUCAUGCACGAAGCGUGGGGAGCAAACAGGA
rnacentral:rRNA from 1 species